CUUGUGAAACUAGACAUAGCCAAGGCCUUUGGCAGUGUCUCGUGGGAGUAUCUUCCCGAGCUGAUCCAGCGGCUGGGCUUCAGUGCGCGUUGGAGGAAUUGGAUCACGGCUCUGCUGUCAACCUCCUCCUCGGCCUGCCUGCUGAAUGGAAUCCCUGGCGAGAUCAUCUUUCACCGAUGUGGGCUGCAGCAGAAGGACCCCCUCUCCCCU
rnacentral:rRNA from 1 species